rnacentral:misc_RNA from 1 species
GAUGAAGAACGUAGCGAAAUGCGAUACGUAAUGUGAAUUGCAGAAUUCAGUGAAUCAUCGAAUCUUUGAACGCAUAUUGCGCUCUCUGGUAUUCCGGAGAGCAUGCUUGUUUGAGUAUCAGUAAACACCUCAACUUCCAUAUCUUUUUUGAAAUGGGAGUUGGACUUGAGUGAUCCCAACGCUUUUCCUCACCGAAAAGUGGCGGGUUACUUGAAAUGCAGGUGCAGCUGGACUUUUCUCUGAGCUAUAAGCAUAUCUAUUUAGUCUGCCUAAAAAACAGAUUAUUACCUUUGCUGCAGCUAACAUAAAGGAGAUUAGUUCUUGUGCUGACUGAUGCAGGAUUCACAAAGACAGCUUCGGCCGACUUUGUAAACUCGAUCUCAAAUCAAGUAAGACUACCCGCUGAACUUAAGCAUAUAAUAAGCGGAGGA